rnacentral:rRNA from 1 species
GACGAACGCUGGCGGCGUGCCUAACACAUGCAAGUCGAACGGGGUCGUUCCUGGUGGCAACACCUUGAACGGUCUAGUGGCGAACGGGUGAGUAACACGUGAGGAACCUGCCCCGAAGACCGGGAUAACAGAAGGAAACUUCUGCUAAUACCGGAUACCCCCACCGGAUCGCAUGAUCUGGUGAGGAAAUGGAUUCCGCUUCGGGAGGGCCUCGCGGCCUAUCAGCUAGUUGGUGGGGUAACGGCCUACCAAGGCGUCGACGGGUAGCUGGUCUGAGAGGACGAUCAGCCACACUGGGACUGAGACACGGCCCAGACUCCUACGGGAGGCAGCAGUGGGGAAUCUUGCGCAAUGGGCGAAAAGCCUGACGCAGCAACGCCGCGUGCGGGAUG